GGACAGGAAGGGAUAAUUUGCCCUCCAGUGCCUCCUGGAACAGCUCUCUUUCUUUUUCCAUAUUGAGGUUGAGACAAACUUUCCAAGCAGAUACUGGUUUUCAAGUAAUUACCGGUUUACUUUCAGAUGUUUUUCCUACCCUCGGAGGUAAUACGGCAACGGCAAACAUGAGCGGGGGAUGAGGAGGAGAGGAAAAGACCAGAGAGGAUAAGAAAGUUGUCGAUUGUGGGAGCCCAGAGCAGAAAAUAUUCUGGCGACUGAACAGAACAGAAACCAAACCAGACCAACUCCAAAGGCCCCAGGCUUAAAGGGAAUGUUUCCUGGAACGCUGGCAGAAGUCCAGCCAGUGGCUGGAGAGACGGUGCGUUUCCCUUACAAGUAUUUCAGAGACCCUAUGCCCCCAAUUCUACCUUUCUCUUUCUAACUUUUUUGAAGGCACGAAGGCAGAGAAACCCAUGCGGGUGGGAAGGCCACCUGAUUUACAACUCUCUCUCCCAUGCUGCUCUUUUCAUUGCAAAUGUGAAAUAGUCCGUCUGCAUUGCUCUUGCCAUCCUAUUUAUAAGCACUGGUUCUGAAGAAAGUGUGUUCUGUGUGGAAAAAAAAACAAAAAACAAACAAAAAAACAAAAACCCAAAAUCCUGGUAAAUAAACA
rnacentral:lncRNA from 1 species